CAGUAGCCGCGGGAACACGAAGGGGGCUAGCGUUGUUCGGAAUUACUGGGCGUAAAGCGCACGUAGGCGGAUAUUUAAGUCAGGGGUGAAAUCCCAGAGCUCAACUCUGGAACUGCCUUUAAUACUGGGUAUCUUGAGUAUGGAAGAGGUGAGUGGAAUUCCGAGUGUAGAGGUGAAAUUCGUAGAUAUUCGGAGGAACACCAGUGGCGAAGGCGGCUCACUGGUCCAUUACUGACGCUGAGGUGCGAAAGCGUGGGGAGCAAACAGGAUUAGAUACCCGCGUAGUCCCUGUCUCUUAUAU
rnacentral:rRNA from 1 species